CUCCGCGAGGGGAAACUGGGCGGCUUCGACUUCAACUCCCGCUUCUACGCCGACGACGACCUGAUGGUCGGCGCCGCCGACCCGUUCCAGCUCUUCCGGAUCAUGUACGAGGUGAUCCGCGGGGGCGGGUACGGGCCAGAUGUCGCCUUCAUGCUCGACCAGUGCCACAACAUCGAACCCAAGAUCCCCGGCCAGAUCCGGUCGGUCAUGAACGUCCAGGAAGCCACCGCGAAGGCCCUCCUGGUGGACCGGGCCGCCCUCGGCGACGCGCAGUCCUCGGGUGACGUGCUCGGUGCCAACGCCGUCCUGAUGGACGCUUACAACACAGAUGUCCGUCCCCUUCUGGGUGAACUUCGGGAGGAGAUGUCCCUCGCCCCCGACCCCAUGAAGGCGUACGCGGCCUCCGGCUACGCGGAGAAGAUAGUCGCGGAGCGGGUGGGGGGAGCUCAGGCGGGCUGGGGUGCCUGACCCUCUUUCCCGCGGUCUGGGUAGCGCGGGAAGGCGUAGAUCUUGCGUGCUUGAUCUUCUUGCGCGCGGAUGGGUGGGACGAAAAGGCGUA
rnacentral:tmRNA from 1 species